rfam:Onchocerca ochengi, WGS project CAWC01000000 data, contig: 12964_15960
CUGAAUACUCGUGCAUGGAAUAAUGAAAUAGGAUCUCGGUUCUAUUUUGUUGGUUUUCUGAUCUGAGAUAAUGGUUACGAGGGACGGACGGGGGCAUUCGUAUCGCUGCGUGAGAGGUGAAAUUCUUGGCGUGAGAGGUGAAAAAAAAAAUUACUAUUGCGAAAAUUCUCGAGAACAAAAUAUGUUUUGAACACCUGGAAUUCCCAGGCCGUUUCGAUC